CUACGGGUGGCUCCAGUAGGGAAUAUUGGUCAAUGGACGCAAGUCUGAACCAGCCAUGCCGCGUGCAGGAUGACGGCCCUCUGGGUUGUAAACUGCUUUUAUAUGGGAAGAAACCCCGGGAUGCGUUCCGGGCUGACGGUACCAUACGAAUAAGGAUCGGCUAACUGCGUGCCAGCAGCCGCGGUAAGACGAAGGAUCCAAGCGUUGUCCGUAUUUACUGGGUUUAAAGGGUGCGUAGGCGGAUGCUUAAGCCAGUGGUGAAAUCUCUCAGCUCAACUGAGAAACUGCCAUUGGAACUGGGAAUCUUGAAUUCGAUUGAGGUAGAUGGAAUAUAACAUGUAGCGGUGAAAUGCUUAGAUAUGUUAUGGAACACCGAUUGCGAAGGCAGUCUACUAAGUCGAUAUUGACGCUGAGGCACGAAAGCGUGGGUAGCGAACAGGAUUAGAUACCCGUGUAGUC
rnacentral:rRNA from 1 species